AUAUAUUUCAAUUACGGCAUAUAUGCAAACUAUUCGCAAAAGUGUACACCAUGGGGACUCUCACAUAAUAGUUUAAGCUUUAUUAAGCUACCAUUUUCUGUAAAGUUUUGUGGAAUUCUAAACCAAUUCCUAAACACAAAUUCAACUGUGAAUCUAAUCAUAAGAAACAUAGAAUGUGAUGGCAGAUAAGAACCGUUCGGUCCAUCUAGUCUGCCCAAUUUUCUAAAUACUUUCAUUAGUCACUGGUAGUUAGGAUAGCCUAAUGCCAAUCCCACGCAUGCUUAAACUGUGAGAAAGUGCUAUUAGUGAUCAGUAAUGAUGGCAUAGCGUCACUGCGAGAAGGUGAGUGCUAUAAGUGGUUGUAUGGAUGGUAUAGGCUCACUGCGAGAAGGUAAGUGCUAUAAGUGAUCGGUAUGGAUGGUAUAGGGUCACUGUGAGAACGCAAGUGCUAUAAUUGAUCGGUAUGGCUGGUCUAGGGUCACUGUGAGAAGGUAACAUAGAAACCUCACCCCAAUCAUAUGUCUAAUCCCAAUUAUAACAUUAAUCUUAACCCUAGUAAUAGUGUUAGAAGGAUUCCCUCUGCUGGUGUCCGCAGAGGAAUUCCC